rnacentral:tRNA from 1 species
GCACGUUAGUAGCCCAGUUGGCUAGCGCAAUAGUUCUGCACCCUAGAGGUGCAGGGUUCGAGUCCCAGCCGAGCC